rnacentral:rRNA from 1 species
CAGAUUAGCUAGUUGGUGGGGUAAUGGCCUACCAAGGCCGCGAUCUGUAGCUGGUUUGAGAGGACGACCAGCCACACUGGGACUGAGACACGGCCCAGACUCCUACGGGAGGCAGCAGUGGGGAAUUUUGGACAAUGGGGGCAACCCUGAUCCAGCCAUCCCGCGGUGUGCGAUGAAGGCCUUCGGGUUGUAAAGCACUUUUGGCAGGGAAGAAAAGGCGCAGGCUAAUACCCUGUGCUGCUGACGGUACCUGCAGAAUAAGCACCGGCUAACUACGUGCCAGCAGCCGCGGUAAUACGUAGGGUGCAAGCGUUAAUCGGAAUUACUGGGCGUAAAGCGUGCGUCGGCGGUUUGGCAAGAAAGGUGUGAAAUCCCAGAGCUUAACU